GAUACAUUGUUCUAGAAUGUUUGGAUGAGGGUUCUAUUUCCACGUUUAUCAGAUUCAUCCUACAUAUUCAGACAAUUAAUGUCAUCAGAAAUGCAAGAUAAAAGACGGAGGAGAAGCUGGCCUCGAAACAGCUGAAGCGACAGAAGAACAGCCCAGAACGAAGGCACGACGACUGUCGAUAGCCCAUAUACUAAGAGCGGUGGACGAUCUUAUUUUGACGGAUUUCGGAAUUCGCAAGUUACCCCGAGAUCGUUUCGAAAUUUGGAAAUGAAGACGGAAUGAAAAGUACGACGCACAUUUCCAAAACAAAGACUAGAUUCCGUGCAAGCCUGUGUUCUAUCAAUUCAUCAAUCAUCGACCCUACUGCAGCCGUAAUUCCACACCUAUGCCGUAAAAUCAAUAAGAAAUGCAGCCAAGUCCUGGUGGAUACUAGUAAAUAGACUGACUUUGUAGACUAAGAACCCGAAGAACGAAGAGUCUGUAGUAACUUUCUUUGCGAGACAUUCUUCGCUCUCUGCACAGGUGCAGCAAUUGUUAUGUAAAUUGGCGCCAACUGCGUAUUGUACAUCCAUCUCUCCAAAAUUAAUGCGUCAUAAUUAUUUUAACUCACGUGACCAACCAGAAUCGUUUCUCCCAGAGGACAGGCAUAGCAGGUCUAAUACCGACACUAGAUUAACUCUAACGGGAUAUAAUUUAUAUUUUAGAAGAUAUCUUUGGCAGUUAGCGGAUCUUUAUCCAUUGGAAUAUCAACAAGAAGAACUUGAGAUACAGAAUCACUUGGGAAUCGACGAAAUCACUUGGGAAUCGGACAGAAAAUUUUUGUGCGCGGACUAGACACUAAUUUCACGGCAGAGCUUCGCCGAGGCUAUCCGAACCUCAGCCUCAGCUCACCGGAGGUUUGUUGAUGGGUCUCUGGACGGUUGUUCUGCUCUUAAUUUAUCAAUUUGAACUUUAUAAUUUUGUGACCAUCAGCGGAACAUUGGAAGACCCAUUUUGUGGAGCUUUGGAGAUAUAUUUCUUUAUUGGAUGAAAUUUUGAGAUGUUGCUGAAUUUAUGUUAUUUGGAUCAUGGAUGCAUGACGACGCCAUCAAAGAGGGGAAAGAUGAACAUGCUGAGACUGAUCAAAUGUUGCUGUAUGAGUAUGGAAUGCUCAAAAUAUCUACAUGACACAGAAGGUGUCUCGAAAAAUCGUUUCUUACAUUAUCGGCCUGUCGACCUAAAUAA